rnacentral:lncRNA from 1 species
AUGCGAAUGCAAGAAGGAGUCCACAAUGUUGCCUUCGACUUGCCUUUAAAUUUUAGGAGCACUGGUAGCAGGAAACUCGCUCCUCUUGCAGUUGAAAAUGUCCGCACGUUGGGCACAUUCAAAACCGGAAACAGCAUGAGUGGUACAAACGGUCGCGUGACGCGUGAUGCAUCAAACAUUAAAAUGAGACAGGAAGAGCAGACACCAGUCAGAGACGGAAUGAAAAUGACACCAAUGAAGAAAAUGUUUGCGACCAGAAGCGACGCCAGACUUUUCGAUGACGGUUACAGCUUAAAGCCACAUGAUGCACGCUUCACCGGAAACGAUGUCAGGCUGACUGAAAGCAGUGCUAGCCUCACUGCCAGUAACAACAUCCGCAUCGGUGAAACUACGAACAUUAACGGAAACGACGGCGGCUUCAUCGGAAGAAGUGUAACCCCUGCCGAAAAUGCAGCUAGCUCCGCCGGAAAUAGUGUAAGCUUUACCGGAAAUAUUGAAGGUCUAAUCGAAAGUACCACCAUUCACACUGAAGGUGAACCCAGCUAUACCCAUACUGGUUCGAACCUUUCCGGAGGUGACGCCAGCUUCACUAGAAAUGGCGCCAGCUCCACCGGAAAUGGCCUCACCCACGCCGAAUAUAGUGCUAAUUCCAUCAGCAACGAUACCGCGUUCGUUCGGAACGGCCACAACUCUGCUGGAAAUGCCCAUGAUCCCAGUCUUACCGGAAAUGACCCCAGUCUUGCCGGAAAUAACCCCAGUUUUACCGGAAAUGACCCCAGUCUUACCGGAAAUUACCUCAGUCGUACCGGAAAUGAUCCCAGUUUUACCGGAAAUAACCCAGUUUUACCGGAAAUGACCCCAGUCUUACCGGAAAUGACCCCAAUCUUACCGGAAAUGACCCCAAUCUUACCGGAAAUGACCCCAAUCUUACCGGAAAUGACCCCAGUCUUACCGGAAACGGCCCUAGUCUUUCCAGAGAUGACUCCAAUUUUCCCAGAAGUAGUGCCAGUCUUCCAAGAAACGGUCCUGGCUUCGCCCGAAGUGAUUCCAAGCACACCGGAAACGCCAGACGGCGGAACAGGAAACGGCGGCCUCAUAACAAGAGCGCCACAAGCGAAAACGUUCUCAAUCCAGGAAAGGCGUCUUUCCGCCGGAAACCGGUGGGCGAAGUGA